rnacentral:rRNA from 1 species
UACGGAGGGUGCAAGCGUUAUCCGGAUUCACUGGGUUUAAAGGGUGCGUAGGAGGGCAGGUAAGUCAGUGGUGAAAUCUCCAAGCUUAACUUGGAAACUGCCGUUGAUACUAUCUGUCUUGAAUAUUGUGGAGGUGAGCGGAAUAUGUCAUGUAGCGGUGAAAUGCUUAGAUAUGAUAUAGAACACCAAUUGCGAAGGCAGCUCACUACUCAAUCAUUGACUCUGAGGCACGAAAGCGUGGGGAUCAAACAGG